rnacentral:rRNA from 1 species
AUUGAACGCUGGCGGCAGGCUUAACACAUGCAAGUCGAGCGGAGAUGAGGUGCUUGCACCUUAUCUUAGCGGCGGACGGGUGAGUAAUGCUUAGGAAUCUGCCUAUUAGUGGGGGACAACAUUCCGAAAGGAAUGCUAAUACCGCAUACGUCCUACGGGAGAAAGCAGGGGAUCUUCGGACCUUGCGCUAAUAGAUGAGCCUAAGUCGGCUUAGCUAGGUGGUGGGGUAAAGGCCUACCAAGGCGACGAUCUGUAGCGGGUCUGAGAGGAUGAUCCGCCAAACUGGGACUGAGACACGGCCCAGACUCCUACGGGAGGCAGCAGUGGGGAAUAUUGGACAAUGGGGGGAACCCUGAUCCAGCUAUGCCGCGUGUGUGAAGAAGGCCUUAUGGUUGUAAAGCACUUUAAGCGAGGAGGAGGCUACUGAGACUAAUACUCUUGGAUAGUGGACGUUACUCGCAGAAUAAGCACCGGCUAACUCUGUGCCAGCCGCCGCCGUAAUAC